rnacentral:piRNA from 1 species
UGCCAAAACCAGUACCUGCACACCUAG